GAUCCGCUGCGUUUUUUAGUCACGGAAUGCCCUAGAUAUUUUGGCUCCCCUCCCCACCGGCCCACCACGGCACCAGCAUCACAUCGAGCCGGGAGAUUGGAAUCCAGUUGAGAUUUCGCUCCUCUCCUCCCCUCCCCCGCCCUGGUGAGCCCCUCCGGGCGACGUGUGUCCCGUUGCCUUUCCUUCGCUCGACGGCCACCUGUUGCCCUCGCAUGGCUCUGCCUGCUCCUGCCAAGCGUCCAAGCUCCCGCUCGCCCGGCGGCUGCACGCCGCAGCGUCUAUCCACCCAGAUCCGCACGAUCCCCGCUAAUCGCCGCACCCCCUACCUCCCAUGCAACUUCUCUAGCUCACCCGCAUCCCGGCUCGGCACUGCCUUCUCCUUGCACUUCACUUCUGUAUCUAGACCACCUCAUCACAAUUCGUCGUCAGCGUCGCGCCGUCGUCUCAGAUUGAUGCAAGGCGUGAUGAGAAGCUAGAGGCAGCAACUGCAUAUAUUGCAAGAAAAUUGGGUUUCAAACCAUACCGAUAAUUUUCUUGCAAGUUGUGCAGUUGUUGUCUCAAGCUUGCUGCCUCCCUUUGCCAAAACUACGAGGAAAAGCACAUGUUAUAUUAUCAGUGAACACAUCAGGAUAAAUCUUAACUGAUAUGUGUUGGUAAUACACACAUUUAAUUGGAAUUUUGCAGCAUGAUAUAUACAGCAGCUAUUAGGUAGGCGUUUUGGGUUUUUAGGUCCCGUUUGGUUCCAUUAGUCCUAAGACUAAAGUUUAGUCCAGAAACUAAACUUAAGUUCUAUCCUGUUUGGUUUUAGAGACUAAAUAGAUUCUAAACACAUUAAAUGAAGUACACAAAGCCUAAAAUGCCCCUCUCCUUAUUGCUUGCGUGCGGUGCAGAUUCUCUAUGCAAGGGUAAUUAGUGUAAAUGAUGUCAUUUAGUCCCUUUUAGCAGCCAUGUGAAGGACUAGAGACUAAAGCCAAUUAGUCAAUACUUUAGUCCUCCCGUUUGGUAAAAAAAAGACUAAACGGGACUAAAAACUAUACUAAAGAUUAGUGACAUUAGUCCAUGUAACCAAACGGCCUUUUAGAUAGAUUGAUUUUACUAUACAUUAGACAUAGAUAUCCAAAAGCUGUCUAAAAAAGCCAAAACGUGUUAUAAUAUGGAAUUGGAGUACAAAACUAAGAGGGAACGGUAUUUGUUACUAGAACAAGAAAUUGCAAUCCGACUUGUCCAAUUUGGCAAUGUGGAGGUUACUUCAAUGAGAGAUAUGACUUUUGCUUUUUGGAUCAACAAGCAGUAUGUUUAGGUAUUGCAGUGGGUACACCGUUGUGGUACGAUGUUGCAAGCAGACUCCAUGAAGUCAUAACAAGGUGAGUGGAAAUUGUUCUAAGAACAUGUCAGUAUAAGUAAAUGGUCUCCUGAUUUUAUGAUUUGAAGGGUGCUGAUUGCCUUCCAGUCAGUGCUGGUUCUUCUGCCGUCAUGAUUUGAAGAGUGUUCAGUAUUUAUUUUACGGCAAGCUGUGAUGUUAGUAGAGGUUACACACUAUUCCAACUUAAUUUCGCUGUUAUGUGCAUUUCAGUGCACAAUUAGCACUUUAGCAGCCUGGUUUGGAAGGUAUAUUUGAGUGGAGUUUAUGGCGUGUGGCGUCGUACUCCGGAGUUUAUGGGAUGUUCUGUAACAGCGCGCGCUGGAAUUUCGACAAUCUAGUAUCAUUUGUGACACAACUGAAGUGGCAAAAAGAAUUCCAAUUUAAAUAACAUUACCGGAUAAGGCAUCUGUUGACAUCUGGUUUUCGUGGUACGGCACACUGUUCUGUGUUGGAUCUCCUAAUUAACUUUUGUGAAAAAGGCUAACUGGUGUUUGAAGGAUUUCUAGUUCGCCAACAUGUAAAAUUUGGCUUGAUAAUAUGUAAACAAGAAUAGAUUGAUGUUUUUGUUAUUAAUGAUUAUUGUAAAACAUUUCAAGACAAUUGAAAACAUUUGUUUCGAGUCCA